GUCCCCAUAGCUUAAUGGAUAGAGUGGUUGCUUGCGGAGCAAUUGGUAGAGGUUCGACUCCUCUUGGGGACA
rnacentral:tRNA from 1 species